UCGCAAAGGUUCUCCUUUAUGGAGAUUAAUAGGGAAUCGGGUGAAAAUCCCGAGCAGUCACGCUGCUGUAAGUCUCUAAACCAACCGUGCGGCUUUAUGCCACUGGGGCCAAUCCCCGGGAAGGUGCCGCAUCGGUGAGAUAAGCCAGAAGACCUGCCUUGCCGGU
rnacentral:ncRNA from 1 species